rnacentral:rRNA from 1 species
CCUACGGGAGGCAGCAGUGGGGAAUAUUGCGCAAUGGGCGAAAGCCUGACGCAGCGACGCCGCGUGAGGGAUGAAGGUCUUCGGAUUGUAAACCUCUGUUAGCAGGGAAGAACGGUCACUGUGCUAAUCAGCAGUGAAUUGACGGUACCUGCAAAGGAAGCAACGGCUAACUCCGUGCCAGCAGCCGGGGUAAUACGGAGGGUGCGAGCGUUAAUCGGAAUUACUGGGCGUAAAGCGGUCGUAGGCGGGAUGUCAAGGCGAGGGUGAAAUCCCCGGGCUCAACGUGGGAACUGCCUUUGAUACUGGCAAACCGGAGUGUGGGAGAGGAUAGUGGAAUGCCAGGUGUAGCGGUGAAAUGCGUAGAUAUCUGGAAGAACACCAGUGGCGAAGGCGACUAACUGGCACAUAACUGACGCUGAGGAGCGAAAGCGUGGGUAGCAAACAGGAUUAGAUACCCCGGUAGUC